GAUGAACGCUGGCGGCGUGCCUAACACAUGCAAGUCGAGCGAAGCGGGGACGGGUGAGUAACACGUGGAUAACCUCCUAUAAGACUGGGAAAACUUCGGGAAACCGGAGCUAACCCCGAAACUUAUAGAUGGAUCCGCGCUGCAUUAGAUAGUUGGUAAGGUAACGGCUUACCAAGGCAACGAUGCCUAGCCGACCUGAGAGGGUGAUCGGCCACACUGGAACUGAGACACGGUCCAGACUCCUACGGGAGGCAGCAGUGGGGAAUCUUCCACAAUGGGCGAAAGCCUGACGGAGCAACGCCGCGUGUAUGAGGAAGGUCUUCGGGUCGUAAAGUACUGUUAUUAGGGAGGCGUUACCUAAUCAGGAAGCCCCGGCUAACUACGUGCCAGCAGCCGCGGUAAUUC
rnacentral:rRNA from 1 species